AGCUUCUGUAACAGCAAGAACUCAGAAGUUCAGCACUGUUUAGCUUGGAGAAAAGAUACUGACUUCAGCUAGGACUACAGCUGAUAAAUCAGUAAACCUUUUUUCUUGCUGUACAAUCACAUGGGCUGGAGCUUAUAUGUCAGAUUGCUGUGCUAACAAUGGUGAAGUUGCAAUUCUGAGUUUCUGUGUUUUGGCAGAUAACAGCACAGGCCUGGACUACAGUCAGCUGAAAACGUCACAGUUUUUUUUAGCCAUUUGAACCCAGGACAACCUCCCAUCUGCUUACACCAAAGAUGAACCUUUCCAGAUACAAUGGCAUUGAUGGACAUGUGUGGCACCAGUGUGACAGAGAUGUGAAAUCAUUCCCCUCAUAUGAAGAGGCAUUUCAGCAAUGGUUAGUCAUGUAUUUUCACCUUUGGCAGCUAUUCACAGAGGUUUUCAUUUUCAAGGUACCAUUUCUUUUUCUUUUUAUUGUCAUCAUAGUGAAGUCCCUAAUAACUGACAUUUACUGGAGGAACUAGGUGCAGAUUUGUCUGAGAUGGACUAAUG
rnacentral:lncRNA from 14 species